UAAAAGACGGUGUGUGUGCCCCCACAGAUGGUGGCAGAUGUGCAAACUUCAGGUCGGACACUCCUCUCAAGUCAGAGUCAGGGACCUAGCAAGGAACAGGUGAGGGGGAAGAGCUGAUCUUAUCCAAGGGACCGGCAGAUCUCAGCAGGACAAGUGUCAUUUGCAGGAAGAGAUUCCUAGGUGAUGCAGAUGCUGCUGGCCUGGAAACCACACUUUGAAAACCAAUGCCUUGGGGGCUUCCCUGGUGGUGCAGUGGUUAAGAAUCCACCUGCCAAUGCAGGGGACAUGGGUUCGAGCCCUGGUCUGGGAAGAUCCCACAUGCCGCGGAGCAACUAAGCCCGUGUGCCACAACUGCUGAGCCAGUGCUCUAGAGCCCGUGAGCCACAACUACUGAGCCCACGUGCCACAA